UGAUCGUCAUUCUGUUGGGUUUGCCGUGAAAGGGCGUACCUAAUAAAGCGGUGAUGAGAAGUUCAAGACGCAAAAGAAAAAAAAAAACUGAUUUGACUUUUCUCAGAAGAGAAAAGUUAAUCAUUCGUGUGUGGAUUCCGAUCCAGCGACGUCAUUGAUGCGGCAAACGGCGACGAGCGGCCGCUAAUCCGACGCGCGGAGGGGACGCGCUACAGGAAAGCCGUGACGGACGGAGACCGAGAGAUGACAGACAGACGGCCGGCGGCCGGGAGGGGCUCGCAAGAUGAACUUUGUGAUUCCGAUUUUGCGGCGAGGGAGGUGUCAAGAGAUCGGGUGGGUCGGCACCUUCAAAACUGACUGCACUCGGUCGGUCCCGCGUUACAGGAGGGAUUUUUUUUUUUUCCCCUUCCCAUCCGGGUAAAUAUCUCACAAUUGCAAACUUCCAAUCUUGCGUUGUCAAAAUUGCUCUUCGGUGUCCGGUGUCAAAGUCAGGCUGGACUUCCUUCUCAGUUGACCGUUGGGAACAUUUUCAUUCACAUUCAUUGGCUGACGAGAGACACUUCAGUCACGUGACUUUUGUUUACGACGCUCACUCACUGGACAGCUGGCGGGGUUUUUUUUUUUUGGCUUGCUUCCGAGCGUCUUCUGGCCUUUUCGUGACGCUUGUGAGAACGGACGGAAGAAGGUCUCUGACACUUGAGGCAAUUGUUGACCUUUUGCUGGGAAUUCAGCUCAUUUCCUGCGCCAUCCUCCCCACUUGUCGUUCGCUCUCCAGUCAAACUUUGCUUUCCGGGUUGGCGGCGGCUAACGUGGCUGUCGCUAGUCGUAGCCUUUAGCUGCGCUUUUGCUAACUCUACGCCGACGUGCCCGCUCCGGCAGGGCCCUGGCCGAGGAACUUUUUGCGCACGCUCGCAGGAGGAAACUGCACUUUUCUGUUCUAAGCGGUCGAGUUGCUGGAAUCUCCGCCACGCAUCCGCUCGAUUGGCUGAGUUGGAACACCGAACGCCUCCCGGUCGUCAGUCCGUGGUUACGCUUCCGUCGCUCCGACACCACGUCAUGACCUUGCUGUCGCGUCACUGAACGACGCAGACGCGUCGCACGCGGUCCUCGCGCCCUUCGCAGUCCGAUUGGACGACGGGACCGACCCGCCCGCUUCGCUUCCCGAAAUAGAAACGCCGAUCGGCGACUCGACGGCUUGGUGACAAGACGGCAAAAAGUCCGAAAAAAUUCAGGGGUGAGAGGAGGCGGGGGAGCCGGCAACAGAAGGCGGGGGGGAUUCACGGUUACAGCGUCUGGCUGCCUCACACGCACUUACGAGGUCCAAGGUUCCAAUCCCGGCCCCCCUCCCUGUGGAAUGCGCAUGUUUCUCCCCGUGCGGAAGGGAACGAAACAAAGAUGCAUCAGAUGGCGACCGGUUGAGCUAACCGGUAAAAGCUCCGUAACCCUUGUGAGGAUAAGCAGCUCAGAAAACGGACGGAUUCAAGAUUCUCCCUCACUUCGGCUGUCGGACGACGACCGAAGUCCAGAACGUCGCCGCUUCGUCGGCAAUCCGUUUUGACGCUGUCCGGAAAUCGCGUCAGUCAAAACCAAAGCGCGGCGGUUCACGGGAGCACCAGAACGGAUUUCGGGUCAGCGCCAUGCAAAGUUUCCCGCUUUCGCUUCCGUGGAGACGCGCCAUCGGGGAAAAAGGCAUCCGGUCGCCGUCGGAGACGCGGGCCACGCUCGCACGCCCACACGGACCGCUCGUCGAGACCGGUGACGACGGUUUUCCUCCAAUCAGAGCGGACGGGCGGAACUUAAAUUGGCCGCGGGAAGUUUCCACUGACAAGCUAACGGAAAAGGGCGCAAGGAAAGACGGAAGGAAGGAAAGAAGUCAGCAAAUGUCGACCAGGGAGAAGAAACGAAACGUCCUUUGAAAUCGACAACAAUUGACUUCGUGCCAACGACGGGCCGACGCGUGACGUCGUUAUCGCGCGGCGGCAAAACGUGACAUCAUCGCCCGGCGAGGCGUGAAAGUGCAAAGGAAAAAUGGAGGACACGUCUUGUUUUUGCCGGUAAUUCCUUGUUGAGGUGGAGUGUAAAUAAUGGCGGACCGCUGCGGCGCGCGCUAUCGUGCGGACCGCUGCGGCG